rnacentral:rRNA from 1 species
AUUGAACGCUGGCGGCAGGCCUAACACAUGCAAGUCGAACGAGUGGCGGACGGGUGAGUAAUGUCUGGGAAACUGCCUGAUGGAGGGGGAUAACUACUGGAAACGGUAGCUAAUACCGCAUACCAUCAGAUGUGCCCAGCUGGGAUUAGCUUUUUGGUGGGGUAACGGCUAACCAAGGCGACGACCCCUAGCUGGUCUGAGAGGAUGACCAGCCAGACGGGAACUGAGACAGGGUCCAGACUCCGACGGGAGGCAGAAGUGGGGAAUAGUGCACAAUGGGCGCAAGCCUGGUGCAGUCAGGCGGCGUGUAUGAAGAAGGCCUUCGGGUUGUAAAGUACUUUCAGCGGGGAGGCGUUACCCGCAGAAGAAGCACCGGCUAACGCCGUGCCAGCAGCCGCGGUAAUAC